rnacentral:rRNA from 1 species
UACGUAGGGUGCGAGCGUUAAUCGGAAUUACUGGGCGUAAAGCGCGCGUAGGCGGCUUUGCAAGUCGGGUGUGAAAUCCCCAGGCUUAACCUGGGAACUGCAUUCGAGACUGCAUUGCUAGAGUAUGGGAGAGGGAAGUGGAAUUUCAGGUGUAGCGGUGAAAUGCGUAGAUAUUGGGAGGAACACCAGUGGCGAAGGCGGCUCACUGGACCGGAACUGACGCUGAGGCGCGAAAGCGUGGGGAGCAAACAGG